rnacentral:piRNA from 1 species
UACACGGAAUUUCAUAUACUCAUGGUAUCC